AUUGAACGCUGGCGGCAGGCCUAACACAUGCAAGUCGAACGAGUGGCGGACGGGUGAGUAAUGUCUGGGAACCUACCCUAUGGAGGGGGAUAACUACGGGAAACUGUAGCUAAUACCGCAUACCAUAGGAUGAGCCCAUGUGGGAUUAGCUAGUUGGUGAGGUAAAGGCUCACCAGGCCGACGAUCUCUAGCUGGUCUGAGAGGAUGACCAGCCACACUGGGACUGAGACACGGCCCAGACUCCUACGGGAGGCAGCAGUGGGGAAUAUUGCGCAAUGGGGGCAAGCCUGACGCAGCCAUGCCGCGUGAAUGAAGAAGGCCUUCGGGUUGUAAAGUUCUUUCGGUAGCGAGGCGUUACCUGCAGAAGAAGCACCGGCUAACUCCGUGCCAGCAGCCGCGGUAAUUC
rnacentral:rRNA from 1 species